AUGGAAACUCCCGACAAUAUCAGCUGGAAAUUACCUAUGGAAGCUGAGUCACCUACCUCGCUCCUGGAGCCCGCUGGCUGUUUCCAAGGCCUUCUUCAUUAUUCAAACCACGACUCCAUCACAGGAAUACCCAAAGCAACAUUUGAUAGUUGUGGAAGAUUUUUACCCUCACAAGUCAUGAAUACUUUCUGUUUAUCGCUUACACUGAGGAUUUAUGACUAUCUAAGUGUUGUAUUUCCGAAGGGAAGCAUCCUAUCCUCAGGUAAGGACAAAUUCUUUAUUCAUAUUGAAAAUGAAAGCAAGUAAAGGGCAAGAAUUUUUUUUUUUUAAAUUCCUCUUCCAGGAUGUUCAGAAUGAAAAGCUUAUUGAAAUAAGACCUUUAAAGUGUUUCCUUUCACUGUUCAUUUGGGAAGAGAUUUCACAGAUGGUACAGACACCCUGAAAUGUUGCCUGGUCUGAAAUCUUUUAUCUAUAGCUUUAGAAGAGCAAAGGGUAUGACAUAUGGAAAGGAGCAAACAGCCGUGGGAAGGCAUGGCUAGGGACAGGGACAGGGAUAGGAAUGUAAAUUAUAUCACUGAUUCUUGCCUCAAAAUAUUUCUGGUUGGCUCCUAUCCAUGGGGUACCACACUUGGAUGCACAAUGGAGGCUGCAUAUGGGGCAAUUAAGGGCAGAUGUGAUUCCAUGACCAUCACACAGAAUUGCAGGCUUUGCAAGUUCUAGCCCUUGACCAAAGCCACAGUGUUUUUAUAUAAUCAUGGUUGGUAUAGAUUGGACCAUGUCCCUCCCAAAUUCAUAUGUUGACAUCCUAACUCCCUAUAUCUCAGAAUGUAACUUUAUUUGGAAAUAAGGUCAUUGCAAAUAUAAUUAAUUAAGCUGAGGUCAUACCAGCAUAGAAUAGGCCCUUAAUCCAAUAGGACUGGUGUCCACAUAAAAAGGGGAAAUUUUGGACACAGAGACAAACACAUACAGAGGGAAAACUAUGUGAGGACAGAGGGAGAGGUCAGCCAGCGACAAGAAACAUCAAAGAUUGUCAACAAACCAUCAGACCCUAAAAAGAAACAGGGAACCAUCCUGUCCCUCUGUUAAAAACAAGAUGGCAAACCCAAUAUGGAGUCACUUUCAAUAAGCCCCUCUUCACCAAAACAAGACUUAUGGUUUUGGCUCUCCCAGAAAUGGAAUCGUAAACCAGUCAGUCAAAAGUAACUUGAUCAGCACCAGCUAGUCAUCUGCCUUGGAGACCCCUGCCCUCCCCUAAAGGAAAGUAAACUUUCUGUAACUAACAUGCUUUUUUGCCUAGUAUAACUUCCUUGUUUCUGCUCCCCUCUGCUUAUAUCAUUUUGUGAAGCUCCUUUCUAUCUGCUGGAUUGAAUGCUGCCCAGUUCAUGAGUUGUUGAAUAAAGCCAAUA
rnacentral:lncRNA from 1 species